rnacentral:rRNA from 1 species
UGGGGAAUCAUGGUCAAUGGGCGAAAGCCUGAACCUGCGACGCCGCGUGAGUGAUGAAGGUCGUAAGAUCGUAAAACUCUUUUCAGGGAUCUUAAAGCACAACCGUCAACAACGGCUGUGUGUGACUCUCCCUGGAAGAAGCCCCAGCCAACUACGUGCCAGCAGCUGCGGUACUACGUAGGGGGCAAGCGUUAUUCGGAAUUACUGGGUGUAAAGGGUAUGUAGGCGGCCCUUCAAGUCGCGUGUCAAAGUCCGGUGCUCAA